AUGUCCGUUCCAGAACAUGAACAGGACUUAUGUUGCCACAGAUAUAAGAAACGAUCUACUGAUACCAACAGAUCCCAAAGGCACGCCUGGUAGCUUUUUAAGGAGAUUUGUGGUCAACCCUCGGGCCAGUCUUGUGGACAGUGUGGUCAAUGUGACACAUAGCAUGGUCAGUGUGACAGAUUGUGCAGCUUUUUGCCUCAAGG
rnacentral:sRNA from 1 species